GGUCCGGGCGUUAUCCGGAUUUAUUGGGUUUAAAGGGAGCGUAGGCCGGAGAUUAAGCGUGUUGUGAAAUGUAGUGGCUCAACCUCUGCACUGCAGCGCGAACUGGUCUUCUUGAGUACGCACAACGUGGGCGGAAUUCGUGGUGUAGCGGUGAAAUGCAUAGAUAUCACACAGAACACCGAUUGCGAAGGCAUCUCACGAAUCCGCGAUUGACGCUGAGGCACGAAAGUGCGGGUAUC
rnacentral:rRNA from 1 species